rnacentral:rRNA from 1 species
ACACGGGAAAUCUUACCGGGUCCGGACGUAUCGAGGAUUGAGAGAUAGUUAUACAUGCCCUACAAGCAAGUAGGAGUCAGGUUUUAAACCUAAUGGCUCUUUCAUGAUUAUAUGAUAGGUGGUGCAUGGCCGUUCUUAGUUCGUGGAGUGAUCUGUCUGCUUAAUUGCGUUUCAAAUUUUUAACCGAGGACCGGGUUUUGGUUUGGCUAGUGGUCCUACCAUGACUGUGAACUGUCAUGUCUUCCGAUGUACGACUAUCGGUCUAGGAUCACAUGACUUG